GGACCCGCACAAGCAGCGGAGCGUGUGGUUUAAUUCGAUGCGACGCGAAGAACCUUACCAGGGCUUGACAUGGACGCGCACCGGCCAGAGAUGGUCGUGCCCGCAAGGGACGCGUUCACAGGUGCUGCAUGGCUGUCGUCAGCUCGUGCCGUGAGGUGUUGGGUUAAGUCCCCCAACGAGCGCAACCCCUAUCGUCGGUUGUAUUUUUCCGGCGAAACUGCCCGCAAGGGAGGAAGGAGGGGAUGACGUCAAGUCAGCACGGCCCUUACGUCCUGGGCUACACACACGCUACAAUGGCUGGUACAAUGGGUUGCCAACCCGCAAGGGGGAGCCAAUCCCACCAAAGCCAGCCUCAGUUCAGAUUGGUGGCUGCAACCCGCCACCAUGAAGGUGGAGUUGCUAGUAACCGCAGGUCAGCACACUGCGGUGAAUACGUUCCCGGGUCUU
rnacentral:rRNA from 1 species